rnacentral:tRNA from 1 species
AAGAUUUUAAGUUAAAUAAACUAAUAGCCUUCAAAGCUUUAAUUAAAAUAAAAUAAUUUUAAAUCUUA